AAACCACUGCAUUUAAGUUUGAGCUCAAAUUACAUGAAGCAAGGGAAGGAACGCAAUGGAGGCUUUUUGCUCAUUUUUGGGAAAUAGAAGACGAUGGGGAAAUUUAUCAGAGAAAAGCAGUCAAUCUGUAUCAUGUUUUUGUGACGUGAUUUGUUUAUGGAGUGAUACAUUUAUUUUUUUGUUUGAACUGAUGCAAUUUGAGGGUCUGGUGGAAUUCUGGAACUUUCCUAAAAGACCAAUGCAAGGUAUUUUUUUAAUUAGUCGUUUUCUCUACCACAGGGGUGGCCUACUUGUUAUUGCAGCGGAGAAAAGCAUCAGAAGGGCUUUGAAGGCGUGGAGCAGCCUCAAAGUUCUCAAGCUCUUCUGAAACGUAGCAGCUCACUGGGAAGCCCAAGAGGAGGAAGUGGUGCUUUCUAGAGGAGCUCAUGAGGACACCGUGGGCUGCAGGUUCUUGCCCAGUUUGGUUGUGGGAUUCUGGAAGAACAGCAGCCACAUGGAGGGAAGGGGUCAGACCCUCUGACUGUGCCCUAGGUGGCUGUGAUAGUCGCCAUCAUCUCUGGAUGACGACGUGAGCCCUGUGGCCUGAGGAUGCUGAACAGACAGUGGGCGGGGUGGACGGGAAGUGAGAACAGAGCGGAUGUGCUGAAGCUGCUGGUUCUUCGCUGUUCAGCAGGGUGGGUUCCCAAAGAUCCAGGGAGACUAGGUUUUAGGGUGGAUUUGAGGGUUAACUCCUAGAACAGUCCGGGGCGAGUUAUGGGUAAACACAGUGAUCAAGACCUUGAACUGGGGAUCACAGCAGGUUAAGAGUGACCCACCGUGUAGCUGCGAAACUUCUGGCUUCUUUUUACUUUGCCUCUGUUUCCUCUGUUUCCAACUAACCUGGUCAUGAAAUUGAGGGAUUUCUGAAGUUUAGAUCUUAGGUCCCUUUUUCUUCCUACUCCCCCACCUCCCCGUAAUCUAUCCUCAGGGGAUCUCACCCUUACCCACCGCUUCAUUACCCCAAAGUCCAGUUGUCUUACUAAUUUAUAUCGGAUUUAUAUCAUUAGCUCUGAAUUUCUGUGACUCCUGGCACAGAAGGCCUACUUGGCAUUUCUGCUGGGACGUCUCAAGUGUAUCUGACCCUGCACUUGUCUGAAGGCAGACGUGAUCCUCGCCAGGCCUGUCUCCUUCCUGUCUUGUGUGCUGCCAUGAAUUUUACCCCCCAGCAGCCCCCGACCCCACUGCUUUCUAGUCAGGGAACUUGGAGGCCUUCCUGGCCCUCAUGUCCCUCAGCCCCUUCCCAGGUUCUGAUGACCCCACGUCCACUUCUCAGACUCCACGCCUCCUCCAGGCCCGCCCGAGGCACCAUCACCUCUUGUGGGACUUGACAGCUGCCCCCUAAGGCCUUUUUGUGGCCCAUUGUGGCCCCAGCACAACCUGCUCCGCUGAUUAUGGAGUCAGAACCACCACUGGAAAAGGCAAAACUACAAAUCUUUUCAGGAAACCCACCCCCCUGGAAAAAAAAAACCCAAAACAGUGACCCCCAAAUACUCAUUGUAAUGAUUUAAUUCAAACUGUAAGCUCAAAGGCUUCAUUUAAGAUGGAAACUGCUUUCCUAGUGGAGCACAGAGCUCCCCUGGGCCUGUGUGGUCCUGAGUCCACCAGAGAUGCGGGCAGAGCUCAUGCCCAGGAUUCAGGGCUCCCCUCCUACCAGAUGACCCCCCCACCAUGGUUUCCAGCUGCUGAGGUUGCUCUGUCUCUGUGCCUCCUUCUUCAGUCCAAUAAGACUGCAAAUUUUCAUUUGCUCCCACGCACUACAGAUGGGGGCCUGCACUCAGGGCAGAAGAUGAAGCCGAGAAACUCACCCAGCUCCUGCCCCUUUUUCAAAUAUCACCACCCGCCCAGUAUCUGCCUGUUUUAGUCAUGUUCCAGCACCUCAGGCAGUUGCUGAUUAUAUCUGGUCUCAAGUUAGUAGUUUUAAAAAAUAGUUUAAGGGUGCUUUUUUUUUUUAUAAAUAAUUUGAGGGCAGGUUGGCCUCAUAGUAGCUACUGAGUCAUUACUGGGAGUGCAAACUCAAAUCUAAAAUCCUCGAGCUGGCCUUCAAGCUUCUGCAUGGCCUGUCUUUUACCUGCUCCUCCCUCUUCAUCCCGGAAGCGCUCCCCCAGCCCUCUUCGCUCUGGCCACACCUGCCUGUUCUUACGUCCUCAGAGGGGCCAUCCUCCUCUGCCCUCUUGGUGUCGCCCAGGUUUUCCUUCUCCAGGACCUGAGCGCUCCCUCCCUGCCCUCAGCACCACAGAGUUGAGGACAGAUGCUCUUCCUUAGGGGAGUCAGGCACUGCUUCCCCAGAAAAGGCUGCCUGUAUCCCCUCCAGACGCCCCCUCCAUUAUAUAUUGUGAGCACCAUGGACGUUUCCUUUGUGCAUUUCUAUUGGCUGUAAUUGGGCAUGUAUUUCUGGAACUCUGAUUCAUGUCUAUUUCCUCAGUCAGACUGUAGGCUGGUGAGGAUCUGGGACCGUUCUGAGGGGAAGACAGUGCGCCAUUCUCUCACCACUGCGGGUAACCCUGGGUCCACCCCAUGAAGUGCGCACCCAGCAAUUUACGUGCUUCGUGCAUAAGGCUCUCCAGACAUGCAUUAUGGAUUGAUUAACUUUUAAAACAAUUUAGCAGACUGUGGAAGCGUCAGGACAGCAGAAGCCUGUCCCUGUUGGUCAAGUGCUUUGUAAUUAUCAGAACACCAGAGUCUUUGGGCCUUGGGGAAGUGACCAGCAGAGAAAAUGCAGGCAAGGUCGUACACAUUUUGUCUGGAGAUUCCCUCUCUGUGGCUGCUAACCCCUUGUCCGUCAUCCAGUGCAAGAGGAGAAGAGGAAGACCGUGGGGCUGCCUCCGCGUCAGGUGGCUGUGGUGGAAGCGCAGCCAGGAGGCUGCCCGAGAUGGGACAGUAGCGGGGGGCACUGGAUCAGGCAGGGUGGUCUGGGUGGGCGGAGGCCGUGGUGGGAGUGGGGAGAGGGAGACUCAGAGGUUAUGGGUCAGGUCUGUGGACCGUCCAGCUUUGUCUCAGCCCCAGCUAUGUGGAUCUGCUCAGGACUGGUCCUGGGCAGCGGGCCACUUCCACCCUUCAGCAUCUGCUCCUGUAUCUGUGCUGCAUUUGCUUGACUCCUACCUCCUUUCCUGUACUUCUACUUAGCUUUCAAGAUUCUGGCCAAAGUUCCAUCCAUUGUCUUUUCUUUUCAAGCAAACCGACCUGUUUCCUUCCCUUCCUUCUUUCUCUCCUUCUUUCCUUCCUUCCUUCCUUCCCCUUUCUUUUUACACCUGUGUUAUGUCCACACAUUUUUCCAGUUAUGUUUAUUAUAACUUACUGCACUUGUUCACUUUCAUAUGUUUUCCCUGCUGGACUGUAAGCUCCUCAGGACAGAGUCCAGGUCAUAGUCACCUUUAUCCCUAGUGCGAGCUCAGUGACAAACACACAGUCAGUAUUGCAUAAACGGUCACGGUUAGAACAAGUGAGUAAAUGAUGACCGGUGACCAGGGUGGUUGUGGCGGUGGGGGACACCGCCUUCAAUAUACAGGUGGUGGACAAGCCUCAUGGGACGAGUAUUGGGUGAUGACAAAAGCAACGUGUGGAUAGUCAAAGUCUGGGGAGCGAACGUGGUAGGGGAGCAGGAGGAAAAGGCUUUGAAUUUCUCUGUGACCACAGAGCUGAUGGCACUGGGAGAGAUGGGAUGAGGUUUGCUAAAUCACUGUAGGGAUUAUUAGCAGUGGUGUGAUCAGGCUACCUUUCAGUUAAAAUAAAAGUGACGGCUGGAUAUGGACAACAGAAACUCCUUUGCCCUACUGAUGGAGUGUAAAUUGGUUCUAUUAUUUGGGAAGAGAGUUUGGCAGUAUCUACUCAAGUGAACACACAUAUACUUUGCCUUAGCAAUUUCACCCCUAACAGUAAUGCACAUGUGUAUGCAACAAACAACGUGUGUGGGAAUGUUCCCAAUGAAAUGAGACAUUAAAGUCCUAAAUGGGAAGCAACCCCAAUGUCCAUUAAUAGUAGAACGAAUAGAUUUUGGUAAAUUCAGUAAUGCAACAAGCCUCUAUAUAGCCAUGGGAAUCACUGAAACACUGCAGAAUGAAACAGCAUGGGUAAAUCUCACAAAGACAAUGUGAAAAGAAAGAAGUCAGACAGAAAAGAAUAUUGGACUGUGAGAGUCACUAUUUUAUAAAGCUUAAGGGAAAGGGAAAGUCUGUGGUGUUAAAGGCCAGGAGAGUUGUUAUAUUUGGGGAAAAAUUGGGAGGCAUUAGUAGGGAGGAUGCUUGAGGGGAUUUCUUGGGGGGGGUGUUCUGCUUCUUGACCUCGGUGAUGGUUACAUGGAUGUAAUCUUGAUAGUUCACUGAAAUGCACACAUAAGCCUUGUGAUGUCUCCAUACGUGUGUCAAACUGCAAUAAAAUAACUUGUUUCCAAUGUA